GUGAUAUCACAAUGGGUGUCUGUGGGUGCAGUCAUGACAGAUGAAAUACUAAGGGUCCCCAUAAGCAGAGUGAAAACUUGACAGUAGAAAACAGAGCUGUCAUGACAUGGCUUGUUACUGGAAGAUGAGAGCCAGGCAGACUCUGAAAGCUUCGUAAUGCACUAGGAAAUGCACUGCGACAGAUGUCAUCAAGAGUGAAGUCUGGGUAACAUGAAACCACACUCCAGCCCUAUAAAACUUGUGUUGCAGCAGAGAGAGGACGGCUCUUUUUCAACAAAUUAAUAAUGUGUUCUGAUCAGCACAAAACAGAUUAGCGAGGUUCUUCUCUAUGUGAUUUGUUUCAUCAAUAGAAAGUUAAUUAACAGUCCUCUGCCUUCUGACUCUCAUUUAUACAACAACGUGCCAGCAUUGCACAGACCUUAAUCUUAGAUUAUGAAUUUGCUCAUUUUCUUUAAUUUUAGCCAUGGAUAUCUAUCCUAUGUGAGCUGGAAGUGAGGUGGUGUUUUCAUAGGAGACAAGCUCAU